GCGACACUAGCUCAGUUGGUAGAGCGCAACCUUGCCAAGGUUGAGGUCACGAGUUCAAACCUCGUGUGUCGCUCCA
rnacentral:tRNA from 2 species